CAGUCGCCGCGGGAAUACGAAGGGUGCAAGCGUUAAUCGGAAUUACUGGGCGUAAGGCGUGCGCAGGCGGUUGUGUAAGACAGGUGUGAAAUCCCCGGGCUUAACCUGGGAACUGCGCUUGUGACUGCACAGCUAGAGUAUGGCAGAGGGGGGUGGAAUUCCACGUGUAGCAGUGAAAUGCGUAGAGAUGUGGAGGAACACCGAUGGCGAAGGCAGCCCCCUGGGCCAAUACUGACGCCCAUGCACGAAAGCGUGGGGAGCAAACAGGAUUAGAUACCCGGGUAGUCCCUGUCUCUUAUAC
rnacentral:rRNA from 1 species